GCGGAGAUGGCGGAAUCUGGUAAACGCACUCGCCUCGAGAGCGAGAGCCCGCAAGGGCGCGUGGGUUCAAAUCCCACUCUCCGCG
rnacentral:tRNA from 1 species